rnacentral:rRNA from 1 species
UACCUGCAGCUCGAGUGGUAACCGUUAUUAUUGGGCCUAAAGCGUCCGUAGCCGGUUUGGUAAAUAUCUGGGUAAAUCGUGAGGCUUAACUUCACGAAUUUCGGAUAGACUGCCAGACUUGGGAUCGGGAGAGGUCAGAGGUACUCCAGGGGUAGCGGUGAAAUGUUGUAAUCCUUGGAGGACCACCGGUAGCGAAGGCGUCUGACUAGAACGAGUCCGACGGUGAGGGACGAAGCCCUGGGGCGCAAACCGGAUUAGAUACCCGGGUAGUCCAGGGUGUAAACGAUGUGGGCUUUGUAUUGGAGGUCCCACGUGGGCGUCCAGUGCAGAAGAGAAGUUGUUAAGCCCACCGCCCGGGAAGUACGGUCGCAAGGCUGAAACUUAAAGGAAUUGGCGGGGGAGCACAGCAACGGGAGGAGCGUGCGGUUU